rnacentral:rRNA from 1 species
GAUGAACGCUGGCGGCGUGCUUAACACAUGCAAGUCGAACGGUGAACGAGGGAGCUUGCUCCCUCCGGAUCAGUGGCGAACGGGUGAGUAACACGUGAGCAACCUGCCCUGGACUCUGGGAUAAGCGUUGGAAACGACGUCUAAUACCGGAUACGAGACGCGAAGGCAUCUUCAGCGUCUGGAAAGAAUUUCGGUCCAGGAUGAGCUCGCGGCCUAUCAGGUAGUUGGUGAGGUAACGGCUCACCAAGCCUACGACGGGUAGCCGGCCUGAGAGGGUGACCGGCCACCCUGGGACUGAGACACGGCCCAGACUCCUACGGGAGGCAGCAGUGGGGAAUAUUGCACAAUGGGCGCAAGCCUGAUGCAGCAACGCCGCGUGAGGGACGACGGCCUUCGGGUUGUAAACCUCUUUCAGCAGGGAAGAAGCGAAAGUGACGGUACCUGCAGAAAAAGCACCGGCUAACUACGUGCCAGCCGCCGCGGUAAGAC